AUGUCUUCCUCUGAGGCAGUGGAAGAACCUGCUGAUGGAGGGACCACAGGAGGAUCUAUGGGAGAACAACGGGAACUGCAGGAGAGCAACAAUGACCAUGAGGGAUUCAAGGAUUAUGCAUCUCUGCACCUACAAUACACCAACUGGCAGUUCCAUCAUUUCAAAGAAAAUCUUCAAGGUAAAGACAUUUACAAUGACGCAAAAACCUUUCAAAGGCAUCAUGGUCCUAAAGGGCUUUCCCCAAGGGACAGCACAGUGUGUUCCAGGCCCUGACGAGAGGUUUAAGACCUGUGACACAGUCUGAAGCUCUCCUGGCACCCUCCCCUUUAUCCUUCACAGGUGUUUCUCCUAAUAAGUUUCUUGUAUGUCUCAUCCCAUCUGGG